rnacentral:lncRNA from 1 species
GGGACUUGUAAGAUGACCGAAUCCCAUUCCUUCCUUUGCACUUUGAUAUGGGAUACAGAGGCUGGGGAAGGUAUGAGGUUGGAACCCCAGAUUGGAUGACAUCUUUUGACUCAGGAGCCUGCAGAUAGGGUCUCUCUAUGUAUUUCAGAAGAAGCUGUGCUAUGUUUGAUUCCAGCUUCAUUUGAGUCUUUGAGUCAAGGAAAAAAAGAUCCUGUGCAGUAUUCACAUUGGACGGCUGGUCUGUCCUCAAUGCUUUCCUGGGUUCUAGGCUCUUCCCAGGGGUGCUGCUUGAAGUGCAAGACAGGCGGCUCUCCUUGAUGGAGUCCUGCUUGUAAACUGGCCUCUUCUUUAAGGGUAAUCUUGAGGGAUCAGACUCCAUUAUCUGACUUGACUUGUAGGGCUUGGAGUCCAGGAUGGAGGGUUGGGCAGUCUGGGAAGGUCCACUCUCAUUCUUGGACUGGUGAGGACUGUUUGCUGGGAAAUGUCCUGCAGGGUUCAUCAGCUCCUGGAAGCAAGGGCCUUGGUCUCGUUCUUUCAUCACCCUGUAUUUCUUCU